CUCACACACCUUAUGUGAGCUGUGAUCGACCAAACACCCCUGUACAAGAACUCAUCUUUUAAAGACCCUAAAUUCAUCAAAUUACCAUCAAAAAUCAAAGAAGGAAAUCAAAUUGGAAUCAAUUUCAAGUGAAAUUAGUGAUCAUUAUACUUAGAAGGAUCACAAGGCAAUUUGGGUGGAUCGUCUAGUAAUCAAGGAGGAACGGAUAAUCGUUUGAAAGGAAAGCUUUAAAGGUAGCUUACAUGAUAUUGCGGAUGACGAUCCAUCAUGAUAAACGAACCGAACACGCGCACAAAAGAAGCUUCCGCAAAUGAAAUUCAUAACUUUUGUUAUUAAAUACUUUGGUGUAGUUUUAUCAAAUGUUUGUAAAUAUGGUACAAAUGUUUUGCAAGUUAAGUAUGUGCUAGUAAACAAGAUGUUCUAAAUCUUUGUAAACUUCGUUUUGAAGGUUUUGAACUCUAUGUAACUGUCGGUUUAUCA